AGGUUAAUAAUUACCCUAUUUAAAGGUUAAAACUUACAAAGUUAAUAUUUAACUUUUGAUUUUUUAACCUUAUAUAAAACACAUCCUAAAUAUUAAAUACAUAAACUAGAUUCAUGGAUGUUUUAGAAAUUUGGAGUAUGAAGCAAUAAUAUCACAUAAUUCAACAUUCCUCAAGACUCCAAAUUGAGUAAUCUUAGAGCAUCUUCUCUCCAAUUUUUUGAUUUGAUUGGUUGUCUUGGAGCACUUCUCUUUUAGUUUGUUGAGUUGUUCUGCUGGAGCACAUCUCUCCAACUUUCAAAGAGCACAUCUCUCCAACAUUCUUGAUUAAUUUUCUGGAGCAUCUCUCUCCUUUUUUGGUGCACUUCUCACCAUUAAAUUUCUUGUUCCUCAUAACAAAAAUUCUUCUUUUUCUUGUUUGUUCUUCCUUGAAUCUAUAAGCUUUAUCCACAUGCACAAACCUUUUAUAUUUGAAGUAUUGUGGCUUUCCCUUGUACCAAAAAUCUUUGUUUUUAUUGGCCGGUUUUCAUACAAUUGCCACAUGGAGGAUGAUUCCUUGCAAUUUUUUCUUCCUUUUGAAGAUGAUUCUUUGAUGUUGUUCUUUGCUUUUGAGCUUGUAGAGAUCUAGUGAUUUCAUUGAUAGAUAGCUUGCUAACAUCUGUUGAUACCUCAAUUGCUGCAAUUUGUAGCUCAAAAUUUUCAAGUAUGCUUACCGACACUUUAUCCACAAUCUUUUGAUCUUAAAUAUCCUCCCCAUAAAUUUUCAUUUGAUUAACAUCCUUAAAUAGCUUUGAAACAUAAAACUCUGACAAUCUCUUCUUCAGUCAUCUAUAACAACUCAAACUUACUUCUAAAAUUUAACAACUUAACCCUUUUCUGAACCUUG
rnacentral:misc_RNA from 1 species